CAGCCCUAGAAAAGACCAAAAAAAAAGAUUGUUGCUGAUGUGAAGAGUUAGUUUGACCACUGAGCAAUGUCCCUUCCAGCUUUGUGACAUUUGCAUGAAUUCUGUCCUAGGCUCACGCCCACACCCUUAAGAGGCUCUGAUGAUGUUGUUUUUUUGUUACAGGUAAGAUGUUAGAUAAAAUACUUACAAACCACCCCUCCGUCUUUAUGAAGCAAUUCAUGUGCAUAUACACUGCUGAAAUAUAGCACACUGCAUUCAAUUACAUCAAGUAUGACAUCUUUGUUUUUUUCAUCUUUUUGCCAGUUAGCAAGCAUUAACAAUAAAGUCGAUGAGUUCAGCUACUCCUUGGUGGUAGAGUGUAGCUUGGAUUUCUUCUUCCCAUUUUUUUUUUUUUUUUUUUUUUUUUGUUUUUUUUUUUUUUUUUUUUUUUUUUUGGCUGCACUCAUGGCAUUUAGAAGUUUCAAGCCAGGGAUCAAACCCAUGUCACAGCAGGUACCUGAGUCACAGCACAACACCGGCUCCUUAACCCACUGAGCAAGACCAAGGAUCAAACCCGCAUCCUCAUGGAUCCUAGUCGGGUUCAUUAACUGCUGGGCCACGAAGGGAACUCCUGUUUUUCUUUUUAAAUAGUCGCUUUGACAUUUGGUAGCUACCAGAGAAACACAGGGGUUUCGAAGGGCAUCUCAGGUCAAUUCAAAAGCCUGGAGAAGAACCGAGUUGGCAGAACAUAAUCCUGCCAGUUGAAAUUCAGCCAGCCUUCGCAAUUUAUUCGCAUCUGAAAAGUACUACAGGUGUUUCAAAUAAUGUAGUAGACACGCUCCUUCAGUGCCCAUUUCCUAAUUUUCCUCUAAUCACUUGGUUGCAGACAGGACUUGUUUAUUUGAAAGAUAAUUGGGAUGGAGGUUGGACUCCAUAUAUUAUGAUUGCUUUGCUUCCUAUAUAUUAUUUUGAUUUGAAAAUGUCAAAGCAUCCAACUGAAUAGUUUCCUGUUUCACAGAUGUGUAAAUGGGGGGACAUGAUUUGGAUGGGCUUAUGCUCCUGGGCUGGAUCUUCCUUUAGUUUUUACUUCUCUAUUCUUUACUUCUCUUUACUUCUCUAUUCACUGCAAUCCACACAAGGCAGCUGCACUCUAGCCCAUUUUCUCUGAGUCCUUAUUCCUACCAUAAUUACAGGCAGGCAUACCGCGGAGAUAUUGUUGUCUUGGUUCUGGGCCACUGCAGUAGAGCAAAUAUGGCAAUAAAGCAAGUCACAUGAAUGUUUUGGCUUCCCAUUGCAUAUAAAAGUUAUAUUCACACUAUACUACAGUCUAUUAAGUAUGCAAUGGCAUUCUGUCUGAAAAAACAAAACCCCCAAAAACCAAUGCGCAGACCUU
rnacentral:lncRNA from 1 species